AUUGAACGCUGGCGGCAGGCCUAACACAUGCAAGUCGAGCGGAUGAAGGGAGCUUGCUCCUGGAUUCAGCGGCGGACGGGUGAGUAAUGCCUAUGAAUCUGCCUGGUAGUAGUGGAUAACGUCCGGAAACGGGCGCUAAUACCGCAUACGUCCUGAGGGAGAAAGUGGGGGAUCUUCGGACCUCACGCUAUCAGAUGAUCCUAGGUCGGAUUAGCUAGUUGGUGGGGUAAAGGCCUACCAAGGCGACGAUCCGUAACUGGUCUGAGAGGAUGAUCAGUCACACUGGAAAUGAGACACGGUCCAGACUCCUACGGAAGGCAGCAGUGGGGAAUAUAGGAAAAUGGGCGAAAGCCUGAUCCAGCCAUGCCGCGUGUGUGAAGAAGGUCUUCGGAUUGUAAAGCACUUUACGUUGGGAGGAAGGGCAGUAAGUUAAUACCUUGCUGUUUUGACGUUACCAACAGAAUAAGCACCGGCUAACUUCGUG
rnacentral:rRNA from 1 species